AACGAACGCUGGCGGCGUGCCUAACACAUGCAAGUCGAACGGAUUGAAGGGGCUUGCUCCUUCAGUUAGUGGCGCACGGGUGAGUAACGCGUAGAUAAUCUGCCUGAUGAUCUGGGAUAACAGUUCGAAAGGACUGCUAAUACCGGAUAAGCCCACGUCGUCUUUGGACCGUGCGGGAAAAGGGGGGGACCUUCGGGCCUGCUGUCAUCAGAGGGGUCGGCGUACCAUUAGCUAGUUGGUAGGGUAAUGGCCUACCAAGGCUACGUUGGUUAGCUGGUUUGAGAGAAUGAUCAGCCACACUGGAACUGAGACACGGUCCAGACUCCUACGGGAGGCAGCAGUGGGGAAUUUUGCGCAAUGGGCGAAAGCCUGACGCAGCAACGCCGCGUGAGUGAUGAAGGCUUUCGGGUCGUAAAGCUCUGUCGAGGGGAAAGAAGUGUAUUGUGGUUAAUACCCGCGAUACUUGACGGUACCCCUAAAGGAAGCACCGGCUAACUCCGUGCCAGCCGCCGCCGUAAAAC
rnacentral:rRNA from 1 species